rnacentral:rRNA from 1 species
UACGUAGGGUGCAAGCGUUAAUCGGAAUUACUGGGCGUAAAGCGUGCGCAGGCGGUUCGCUAAGACAGAUGUGAAAUCCCCGGGCUUAACCUGGGAACUGCAUUUGUGACUGGCGGGCUAGAGUAUGGCAGAGGGGGGUAGAAUCCACGUGUAGCAGUGAAAUGCGUAGAGAUGUGGAGGAAUACCGAUGGCGAAGGCAGCCCCCUGGGCCAAUACUGACGCUCAUG